rnacentral:rRNA from 1 species
GAAACGACUGCUAAGACUGGAUAGGAGAUAAGAAGGCAUCUUUUUAUUUUUAAAAGACCUAGCAAUAGGUAUGCUUAGGGAAGAGCUUGCGUCACAUUAGUUAGUUGGUGGGGUAAUGGCCUACCAAGACGAUGAUGUGUAGCCGGGCUGAGAGGUCGAACGGCCACAUUGGGACUGAGACACGGCCCAAACUCCUACGGGAGGCAGCAGUAAGGAAUUUUCGGCAAUGGAGGAAACUCUGACCGAGCAAUGCCGCGUGAACGAUGAAGUAUUUCGGUACGUAAAGUUCUUUUAUUAGGGAAGAAAAGAUGGUGGAAAAACCAUUAUGACGGUACCUAAUGAAUAAGCCCCGGCUAACUAUGUGCCAGCAGCCGCGGUAAUACAUAGGGGGCAAGCGUUAUCCGGAAUUAUUGGGCGUAAAGGGUGCGUAGGCGGUUAAAUAAGUUUAUGGUCUAAGUGCAACGCUCAACGUUGUGAUGCUAUAAAAACUGUUUAGCUAGAGUUGGAUAGAGGCAAGUGGAAUUCCGUGUGUAGUGGUAAAAUGCGUAAAUAUACGGAGGAACACCAGAAGCGAAGGCGGCUUGCUGGGUCUUAACUGACGCUGAGGCACGAAAGCGUGGGGAGCAAACAGGAUUAGAUACCCUGGUAGUCCACGCCCUAAACGAUGAGUACUAAACGUUGGAUAAAACCAGUGUUGAAGUUAACACAUUAAGUACUCCGCCUGAGUAGUACGUACGCAAGUAUGAAACUUAAAGGAAUUGACGGGACUCCGCACAAGCGGUGGAUCAUGUUGUUUAAUUCGAAGGUACCCGAAAAACCUCACCAGGUCUUGACAUGCUUUUGCAAAGCUGUAGAAAUACAGUGGAGGUUAUCAGAAGCACAGGUGGUGCAUGGUUGUCGUCAGCUCGUGUCGUGAGAUGUUGGGUUAAGUCCCGCAACGAGCGCAACCCUUGUUGUUAAUUGCCAUCAUUAAGUUGGGGACUUUAGCAAGACUGCCAAUGAUAAAUUGGAGGAAGGUGGGGACGACGUCAAAUCAUCAUGCCCCUUAUGACCUGGGCUACAAACGUGAUACAAUGGCUGUUACAAAGGGUAGCUAAAGCGUAAGCUUCUGGCGAAUCUCAAAAAAGCAGUCUCAGUUCGGAUUGAAGUCUGCAACUCGACUUCAUGAAGUUGGAAUCGGUAGUAAUCGCGAAUCAGCAUGUCGCGGUGAAUACGUUCUCGGGGUUUGUACACACCGCCCGUCAAA